UAGAGUUUGAUCCUGGCUCAGAUUGAACGCUGGCGGCAGGCCUAACACAUGCAAGUCGAGCGGUAACAUUUCUAGCUUGCUAGAAGAUGACGAGCGGCGGACGGGUGAGUAACGCGUAGAAAUCUGCCUGGUAGUGGGGGAUAGCCCAGAGAAAUUUGGAUUAAUACCGCAUACGCCCUACGGGGGAAAGCAGGGGACCUUCGGGCCUUGCGCUAUCAGAUGAGUCUGCGUCGGAUUAGCUUGUUGGUGAGGUAAUGGCUCACCAAGGCGACGAUCCGUAGCUGGUCUGAGAGGAUGAUCAGCCACACUGGAACUGAGACACGGUCCAGACUCCUACGGGAGGCAGCAGUGGGGAAUAUUGCACAAUGGGGGAAACCCUGAUGCAGCCAUGCCGCGUGUGUGAAGAAGGCCUUCGGGUUGUAAAGCACUUUCAGUUGUGAGGAAAAGUUAGUAGUUAAUACCUGCUAGCCGUGACGUUAACAACAGAAGAAGCACCGGCUAACUCCGUGCCAGCAGCCGCGGUAAUACGGAGGGUGCGAGCGUUAAUCGGAAUUACUGGGCGUAAAGCGCAUGCAGGUGGUUUGUUAAGUCAGAUGUGAAAGCCCGGGGCUCAACCUCGGAAUUGCAUUUGAAACUGGCAGACUAGAGUACUGUAGAGGGGGGUAGAAUUUUCAGGUGUAGCGGUGAAAUGCGUAGAGAUCUGAAAGGAAUACCGGUGGCGAAGGCGGCCCCCUGGACAGAUACUGACACUCAGAUGCGAAAGCGUGGGGAGCAAACAGGAUUAGAUACCCUGGUAGUCCACGCCGUAAACGAUGUCUACUUGGAGGUUGUGGCCUUGAGCCGUGGCUUUCGGAGCUAACGCGUUAAGUAGACCGCCUGGGGAGUACGGUCGCAAGAUUAAAACUCAAAUGAAUUGACGGGGGCCCGCACAAGCGGUGGAGCAUGUGGUUUAAUUCGAUGCAACGCGAAGAACCUUACCUACUCUUGACAUCCAGAGAACUUUCCAGAGAUGGAUUGGUGCCUUCGGGAACUCUGAGACAGGUGCUGCAUGGCUGUCGUCAGCUCGUGUUGUGAAAUGUUGGGUUAAGUCCCGCAACGAGCGCAACCCUUAUCCUUGUUUGCCAGCACUUCGGGUGGGAACUCCAGGGAGACUGCCGGUGAUAAACCGGAGGAAGGUGGGGACGACGUCAAGUCAUCAUAGCCCUUACGAGUAGGGCUACACACGUGCUACAAUGGCGCAUACAGAGGGCAGCCAACUUGCGAAAGUGAGCGAAUCCCAAAAAGUGCGUCGUAGUCCGGAUUGGAGUCUGCAACUCGACUCCAUGAAGUCGGAAUCGCUAGUAAUCGUGGAUCAGAAUGCCACGGUGAAUACGUUCCCGGGCCUUGUACACACCGCCCGUCACACCAUGGGAGUGGGCUGCAAAAGAAGUGGGUAGUUUAACCUUCGGGAGGACGCUCACCACUUUGUGGUUCAUGACUGGGGUGAAGUCGUAACAAGGUAACCA
rnacentral:rRNA from 1 species